UUGCAGGAAGGGACUAUCAUGGUGGCCAUCUUUGGAAUAUCAAACCUGGGCUGUGGGGAUGCUGUGUGCAAUGGCUGCAAACAGCAGCCUCCUUGGUGGUAUAUUUUGCCUCUGCAGGUUGCGCUAAGGAACCCUGGAGAUGGUU
ensembl:snoRNA SNORA70 Small nucleolar RNA SNORA70